AUACGAACCGGACAAACGUUAUUCGGAAUUAUUGGGCUUAAAGGGUGCGUAGGCGGCGCGGUAAGUGAGGUGUGAAAGCCCACGGCUCAACCGUGGAAUUGCGCUUCAUACUGCCGUGCUAGAGGGAGACAGAGGUAAGCGGAACUGAUGGUGGAGCGGUGAAAUGCGUUGAUAUUAUCAGGAACACCGGUGGCGAAAGCGGCUUACUGGGUCUCUUCUGACGCUGAGGCACGAAAGCCAGGGUAGCGAACGGGAUUAGAUACCCCGGUAGUCC
rnacentral:rRNA from 1 species